AUUGAACGCUGGCGGCAGGCUUAACACAUGCAAGUCGAGCGGAGCGAGGGUGCUUGCACCUUAGCUUAGCGGCGGACGGGUGAGUAAUGCUUAGGAAUCUGCCUAUUAGUGGGGGACACCAUUCCGAAAGGCAUGCUAAUACCGCAUACGCCCUACGGGGGGAAGCAGGGGAUCUUCGGACCUUGCGCUAAUAGCGGAGCCUAAGUCGGAUUAGCUAGUUGGUGGGGUCAAGGCGUACCAAGGCGACGAUCUGGAGCGGGUCUGAGAGGAUGAUCCGCCACACUGGGACUGAGACACGGCCCAGACUCUUACGGGAGGCAGCAGUGGGGAAUAUUGGACAAUGGGCGGAAGCCUGAUCCAGCCAUGCCGCGUGUGUGAAGAAGGCCGUUUGGUUGUAAAGCACUUUAAGCGAGGAGGAGGCUACUUAGAUUAAUACUCUGGGAUAGUGGACGUUACUCGCAGAAUAAGCACCGGCUAACUCUGUGCCAGCCGCCGCCGUAA
rnacentral:rRNA from 1 species